AUUGAACGCUGGCGGCAUGCCUUACACAUGCAAGUCGAACGGCAGCACGGACUUCGGUCUGGUGGCGAGUGGCGAACGGGUGAGUAAUACAUCGGAACGUGCCCAGUAAUGGGGGAUAACGCAGCGAAAGUUGUGCUAAUACCGCAUACGCCCUGAGGGGGAAAGUGGGGGAUCGAAAGACCUCAUGCUAUUGGAGCGGCCGAUGGCUGAUUAGCUAGUUGGUGAGGUAAAGGCUAACCAAGGCGACGAUCAGUAGCUGGUCUGAGAGGACGACCAGCCACACUGGGACUGAGACACGGCCCAGACUCCUACGGGAGGCAGCAGUGGGGAAUUUUGGACAAUGGGCGAAAGCCUGAUCCAGCAAUGCCGCGUGUGCGAAGAAGGCCUUCGGGUUGUAAAGCACUUUUGUCAGGGAAGAAAACUGCUGGGCUAAUACCUUGGCAGGAUGACGGUACCUGAAGAAUAAGCACCGGCUAACUACGUGCCAGCCGCCGCAGUAG
rnacentral:rRNA from 1 species